GUAAAUAAUAAAGGGCGUAUGGUGGAUGCCUAGGCUCUCAGAGGCGAUGAAGGACGUGAUAAGCUGCGAAAAGCUCCGUUUAGGUGCAAAUAACCUUUGAUGCGGAGAUCUCCGAAUGGGAUAACCCAAUAUGUUGAAGACAUAUUAUACCGUAAGGUAGGCAAACGCAGGGAACUGAAACAUCUAAGUACCUGCAGGAGAAGAAAACAAACGUGAUUCCCCCAGUAGCGGCGAGCGACCGGGGAUAAGCCCAAACCGUUAUUGUUUCGGCAGUAGCGGGGUAGUAGGACUGCGACAUUGAUGAAAUAAAUGAAAUGGAACACCUUGGAAAAUGUGAUCACAGAGGGUGAUAAUCCCGUACAUGUAAGUUUAUGAAUCAUAGCAGACUCCUGAGUAAGUCGGGACACGUGUAAUCCUGACCGAAUCCGCCGGGACCAUCCGGCAAGGCUAAAUACUCCUGAGAGACCGAUAGUGAACCAGUACCGUGAGGGAAAGGUGAAAAGCACUUCGAACAGAAGAGUGAAAUAGUCCCUGAACCCAUACGCCUACAAGCAGUCGGAGCCGCUUCGUGCGGUGACGGCGUGCCUUUUGCAUAAUGAGCCUACGAGUUACUCAUCACCAGCGAGGUUAAGUACUUCAGGUACGUAAGCCGAAGCGAAAGCGAGUCUGAAUAGGGCGUCAAGUUGGUGGUGGUAGACGCGAAACCUUAGUGAUCUACCCAUGGGCAGGGUGAAGGUUUGGUAACACAAACUGGAGGCCCGAACCGGUAAACGUUGAAAAGUUUUCGGAUGACCUGUGGGUAGGGGUGAAAGGCCAAUCAAACUGGGAAAUAGCUCGUACUCUCCGAAAUGCAUUUAGGUGCAGCCUCUGUUGUUUUGUUCUAGAGGUAGAGCUACUGAUUGGAUGCGAGGGCUUCACCGCCUAUCAAAUCCGGCCAAACUCCGAAUGCUAGAACAUGAAGACAGGGAGUGAGCCAGCGGGUGCUAAGGUCCGUUGACGAAAGAGGGAGAACUCAGACCAUCAGCUAAGGUCCCCAAUUAUAUGCUAAGUUGGAAUUAAAACGGGGUGGGACUGCUUAGACAGCUAGGAUGUUGGCUUGGAAGCAGCCAUUCAUUUAAAGAGUGCGUAACAGCUCACUAGUCGAGCGGUCCUGCAUGGAUAAUACGCGGGCAUAAGCAUAUAACCGAAGCUAUGGGAUUGUAGAUGAUACAAUCGGUAGGAGAGCAUUCCAUUCAGCAUAGAAGCAGUACCGUGAGGUAUUGUGGAGCGGAUGGAAAAGCAAAUGUAGGCAUAAGUAACGAUAAUGCGGGUGAGAACCCCGCACGCCGAAAGAUCAAGGAUUCCCCGGCAAUGUCAAUCAUCCGGGGGUAAGUCGGAUCCUAAGGGUAAGCCGAGUGGCGAUCCCGAUGGCAAACAGGUUAAUAUUCCUGUACUGAUCAUAACUGCGAUGCAGCGACGCAGAGGUGACACUGCUGCGUACUGACGGAAUAGUACGUUGAAACCCGUAUUCUUUGAUACCGGUAGUGAAGCACGCCGGUAGAGAUGAAAGGUGAUAGUACCGCAAUGCUUCGGUUGCGCGGAUAAUGCAGGUAAGCUGACUGCCAAGAAAACCUGCUAAGCUUCAGGUAAUGAUCAUCCGUACUGUAAACGGACACACGUGAUCAGGUAGAAAAUACUAAGGCGCUCGAGAGAUUCAUGGUUAAGGAACUAGGCAAAAUGGUCCUGUAACUUCGGGAUAAAGGACGCUCUUGUGAAAGAGCCGCAGAUAAUAGGCCCAGGCGACUGUUUACCAAAAACACAUGGCUAUGCUAAUUCGCAAGAAGAUGUAUAUGGCCUGACACCUGCCCGGUGCCGGAAGGUUAAGAGGAGAGCUCAGAGGCAACUCGAAGGUUUGAAUUGAAGCCCCGGUAAACGGCGGCCGUAACUAUAACGGUCCUAAGGUAGCGAAAUUCCUUGUCGGGU
rnacentral:rRNA from 1 species